GUCAGUGUGGUAUUGUGGUUUGAACAAUGGACUAUGACUCUGGAGACCAAGGUUCAAAUCCCUGCUCGGCCA